AGCAGUAGCGCCAUCUUCGAUAAACAGAGGAACAUUCUUAGCAGAAUUCGCUUCAUCGAUGGAGAGUAAGAUGGGGACUCGCGGGGUGAAUUCGCCUGCGGCAGCGGCCAGGAAGAUGAGGAAGGCACACCGGACACCGUCAUGGAAG
rnacentral:misc_RNA from 1 species